UACAGAGGGUGCAAGCGUUGUCCGGAAUUAUUGGGCGUAAAGAGCUCGUAGGCGGUCUGUCGCGUCGGCUGUGAAACCCGGGCUCAACCCGGCCUGCAGUCGAUACGGGCAGACUAGAGUGCGGUAGGGGAGACUGGAAUUCCUGGUGUAGCGGUGAAAUGCGUAGAGAUCGGGAGGAACACCAGAGGCGAAGGCGGCUAGCUGGACAGUAACUGACACUCAACUACGAAAGCGUGGGGAGCAAACAGG
rnacentral:rRNA from 1 species